rnacentral:rRNA from 1 species
GCAAGUUGAACGGACAAUCACCCUUCGGGGUGUGCGUUAGUGGCGGACGGGUGAGUAACGCGUGAGGAACCUGCCUUGCAGUGGGGAAUAACAGCCGGAAACGACUGCUAAUACCGCAUGAUGCAUAGAAGUCGCAUGGCUUUUGUGCCAAAGAUUUAUCGCUGUGAGAUGGCCUCGCGUCUGAUUAGCUUGUUGGCGGGGUAACGGCCCACCAAGGCGACGAUCAGUAGCCGGACUGAGAGGUUGGCCGGCCACAUUGGGACUGAGACACGGCCCAGACUCCUACGGGAGGCAGCAGUGGGGAAUAUUGGGCAAUGGGCGCAAGCCUGACCCAGCAAUGCCGCGUGAAGGAAGACGGUUUUCGGAUUGUAAACUUCUUUUAACAGGGACGAUAAUGACGGUACCUGUUGAAUAAGCUCCGGCUAACUACGUGCCAGCAGCCGCGGUAAUACGUAGGGAGCAAGCGUUAUCCGGAUUUACUGGGUGUAAAGGGCGUGUAGGCGGGACAACAAGUCAGAUGUGAAAGCACGAGGCUCAACCUCGUGUCUGCAUUUGAAACUGUAGUUCUUGAGUGCUGGAGAGGCUAACGGAACUCCUAGUGUAGCGGUGAAAUGCGUAGAUAUUAGGAAGAACACCAGUGGCGAAGGCGGUUAGCUGGACAGUAACUGACGCUGAGGCGCGAAAGCGUGGGUAGCAAACAGGAUUAGAUACCCUGGUAGUCCACCAGUAAACGAUGGAUACUAGGUGUGCGGGGGACUUGACCCCCCUUGCGUUGCCGCAGCAAAACGCAAUAAGUAUCCCCCCCUGGGGAGGACGAUCGCAAGGUUGAAACUCAAAGGAAUUGACGGGGGCCCGCACAAGCGGUGGAGCAUGUGGUUUAAUUCGAAGCAACGCGAAGAACCUUACCAGGUCUUGACAUCCCGGUGACCGGCAUAGAGAUAUGCCUUCCCUUCGGGGCACCGGUGACAGGUGGUGCAUGGUUGUCGUCAGCUCGUGUCGUGAGAUGUUGGGUUAAGUCCCGCAACGAGCGCAACCCCUAUUGUUAGUUGCUACGCAAGAGCACUCUAGCGAGACUGCCGUUGACAAAACGGAGGAAGGUGGGGACGACGUCAAAUCAUCAUGCCCCUUAUGACCUGGGCCACACACGUGCUACAAUGGCGUAUAACAAAGGGAGGCAAAGCCGCGAGGCAGAGCGAACCCCCAAAAUACGUCUCAGUUCGGAUUGCAGGCUGCAACUCGCCUGUAUGAAGUUGGAAUCGCUAGUAAUCGCGAAUCAGCAUGUCGCGGUGAAUACGUUCCCGGGCCUUGUACACACCGCCCGUCACACCAUGAGAGUCGGGAAC